rnacentral:rRNA from 1 species
UACGUAGGGGGCGAGCGUUAUCCGAAUUUACUGGGCGUAAAGCGCGUGUAGGCGGCUCUUUAAGUGAGAUGUGAAAUCCUGCGGCUCAACCGCAGAACUGCAUUUCAAACUGGGGGGCUUGAAUUUGGGCGAGGAAAGUGGAAUUCCUGGUGUAGCGGUGAAAUGCGUAGAUAUCAGGAGGAACACCCGUGGCGAAGGCAGCUUUCUGGCCCAACAUUGACGCUGAGACGCGAAAGCUAGGGUAGCGAACGGGAUUAGAUACCCCGGUAGUCCUAGCCGUAAACGAUGGAUACUAGGUGUAAGUGGUAUCGACCCCACUUGUGCCGGAGCUAACGCAUUAAGUAUCCCGCCUGGGGAGUACGGCCGCAAGGUUGAA